GUGCCAGCCGCCGCGGUAAGACGUAGGGCGCGAGCGUUGUCCGGAUUUAUUGGGCGUAAAGAGCUCGUAGGCGGCUUGUUGCGUCGGCUGUGAAAUCCCAUGGCUCAACUGUGGGCUUGCAGCCGAUACGGGCGGGCUAGAGUUCGGUAGGGGAGACUGGAAUUCCUGGUGUAGCGGUGAAAUGCGCAGAUAUCAGGAGGAACACCGGUGGCGAAGGCGGGUCUCUGGGCCGAUACUGACGCUGAGGAGCGAAAGCGUGGGGAGCGAACAGGAUUAGAAACCCGAGUAGUCC
rnacentral:rRNA from 1 species